GAACGUUAAAAACAAAAAACUGCCAAGCAGGAUGGAGCCUUUGGGGGCCCAAGGUCCCUCCCACUGCACGGCAGGCCUGGCAAGGCCCCGCCCACCCAGCCUCAGUACCAGGCCGGCACCUGCAGACACGGCUCCCCGGCGGAGGGCACCUCGAUGCUGCAGGCAAGCCGAUGUGGGGCGGCCAGAGGCACCGGACAUCACGCCAAACAGCGGGAGCCCCGCAGACUCCCCUCCCCUGGGCCACCACUGACAGGCCGGGACAAGAGGGGACGUACUCGGAGAAGAGGCCUGGCACGAGGCGCCCAGCUCUGCAGAGGGACACCCCACAGGAGACACCGGUCAGUCUGCGGGCAGCAAGGGCACCCCAAGGCUGGGAGCCCUGCAUGAGGAAGACACGCCCCGCGAGCCGGCACAGGACUGCCCACAGCCCUGAUCCCAUCUGCCAGGUCUAGGACGCCCAGUGCGGUGGGCCCGUGACCUCUGACCUCACCCAUCUGCACGCCUGCCCCCAAGGCAGACUCGGGAGAAAUGGUGCCUCUGGCGCAGGAGGUGCAGCCGCCGGCCCUGGGUGCUCACCGGGA